UGGGGAAUUUUCCGCAAUGGGCGAAAGCCUGACGGAGCAAUACCGCGUGAGGGAGGAAGGCUCUUGGGUUGUAAACCUCUUUUCUCAGGGAAGAAGAGAUGACGGUACUUGAGGAAUAAGCAUCGGCUAACUCCGUGCCAGCAGCCGCGGUAAUACGGAGGAUGCAAGCGUUAUCCGGAAUGAUUGGGCGUAAAGAGUCCGUAGGUGGCUGUUCAAGUCUGCUGUCAAAGGUCAGAGCUUAACUCUGAAAAGGCGGUGGAAACUGAGCAGCUAGAGGCUGGUAGGGGUAGAGGGAAUUCCCAGUGUAGCGGUGAAAUGCGUAGAGAUUGGGAAGAACACCGGUGGCGAAAGCGCUCUACUGGACCAGGACUGACACUGAGGGACGAAAGCUAGGGGAGCG
rnacentral:rRNA from 1 species